GUGGCGAACGGGUGAGUAACACGUGGGCAAUCUGCCCUUCACUCUGGGACAAGCCCUGGAAACGGGGUCUAAUACCGGAUAAUACUUCUGCCUGCAUGGGUGGGGGUUGAAAGCUCCGGCGGUGAAGGAUGAGCCCGCGGCCUAUCAGCUUGUUGGUGGGGUAAUGGCCUACCAAGGCGACGACGGGUAGCCGGCCUGAGAGGGCGACCGGCCACACUGGGACUGAGACACGGCCCAGACUCCUACGGGAGGCAGCAGUGGGGAAUAUUGCACAAUGGGCGAAAGCCUGAUGCAGCGACGCCGCGUGAGGGAUGACGGCCUUCGGGUUGUAAACCUCUUUCAGCAGGGAAGAAGCGCAAGUGACGGUACCUGCAGAAGAAGCGCCGGCUAACUACGUGCCAGCAGCCGCGGUAAUACGUAGGGCGCAAGCGUUGUCCGGAAUUAUUGGGCGUAAAGAGCUCGUAGGCGGCUUGUCACGUCGGAUGUGAAAGCCCGGGGCUUAACCCCGGGUCUGCAUUCGAUACGGGCUAGCUAGAGUGUGGUAGGGGAGAUCGGAAUUCCUGGUGUAGCGGUGAAAU
rnacentral:rRNA from 1 species